rnacentral:rRNA from 1 species
GCUUGCUCUUAUGAAGUUAGCGGCGGACGGGUGAGUAACACGUGGGUAACCUGCCCAUAAGACUGGGAUAACUCCGGGAAACCGGGGCUAAUACCGGAUAACAUUUUGAACCGCAUGGUUCGAAAUUGAAAGGCGGCUUCGGCUGUCACUUAUGGAUGGACCCGCGUCGCAUUAGCUAGUUGGUGAGGUAACGGCUCACCAAGGCAACGAUGCGUAGCCGACCUGAGAGGGUGAUCGGCCACACUGGGACUGAGACACGGCCCAGACUCCUACGGGAGGCAGCAGUAGGGAAUCUUCCGCAAUGGACGAAAGUCUGACGGAGCAACGCCGCGUGAGUGAUGAAGGCUUUCGGGUCGUAAAACUCUGUUGUUAGGGAAGAACAAGUGCUAGUUGAAUAAGCUGGCACCUUGACGGUACCUAACCAGAAAGCCACGGCUAACUACGUGCCAGCAGCCGCGGUAAUACGUAGGUGGCAAGCGUUAUCCGGAAUUAUUGGGCGUAAAGCGCGCGCAGGUGGUUUCUUAAGUCUGAUGUGAAAGCCCACGGCUCAACCGUGGAGGGUCAUUGGAAACUGGGAGACUUGAGUGCAGAAGAGGAAAGUGGAAUUCCAUGUGUAGCGG